UUAAACUAAGUUAUGCAUAUUUAUUUAUUAAUUUUUUUACAGAACUGUGAUCCAUGUUCGACGUCAUGGGGGCAGGCCUAUAUCCAGUCAUCCUUUCUGACCUGAAGAACACCAAAGAGGACUAUUCAUCAAACAAAUAGACCUACCAGGUGGGGAACUGAAGGUGAAAGCCUUGGACUUGAUAAUACUGAUCUUGCUAAUAGCUGCCUAUGGACCCGUGGCGCUUCCGUACCUACUAAUCAGAGCCUGAUUUGGUAUAAGUAUGUAAUAUAGUUGAUGCAUAUAUGUGGGGCGAUUUUGAUGUUAGGGUUUUUUUGGGGAAGAUGAUGAUUAAACGGGGGAAGAAAGGACAAAAUUGCCCCUGA
rnacentral:lncRNA from 1 species